GAUGAACGCUAGCGGCAGGCCUAACACAUGCAAGUCGAGGGGUAUAGUUCUUCGGAACUAGAGACCGGCGCACGGGUGCGUAACGCGUAUGCAAUCUACCUUUUACAGGGGAAUAGCCCAGAGAAAUUUGGAUUAAUGCCCCAUAGUGUUAUAGAAUCGCAUGGUUUUAUAACUAAAGUUCCAACGGUAAAAGAUGAGCAUGCGUCCCAUUAGUUAGUUGGUAAGGUAACGGCUUACCAAGACAAUGAUGGGUAGGGGUCCUGAGAGGGAGAUCCCCCACACUGGUACUGAGACACGGACCAGACUCCUACGGGAGGCAGCAGUGAGGAAUAUUGGACAAUGGGCGCAAGCCUGAUCCAGCCAUGCCGCGUGCAGGAAGACGGUCCUAUGGAUUGUAAACUGCUUUUGUACAGGAAGAAACACUCCCUCGUGAGGGAGCUUGACGGUACUGUAAGAAUAAGGAUCGGCUAACUCCGUGCCAGCAGCCGCGGUAAAGUAUCGUACGC
rnacentral:rRNA from 1 species